AACGAACGCUGGCGGCAGGCCUAACACAUGCAAGUCGAACGCUCCGCAAGGGGAGUGGCGCACGGGUGAGUAACACGUGGGAACCUACCUUCUGGUACGGAACAACCAAGGGAAACUUUGGCUAAGGCCGUAUACGACCUCCGGGUGAAAGAUUGAUCGCCGGAAGAGGGGCCCGCGUCCGAUUAGGUAGUUGGUGAGGUAACGGCUCACCAAGCCUUCGAUCGGUAGCUGGUCUGAGAGGAUGACCAGCCACACUGGGACUGAGACACGGCCCACGACUCCUACGGGAGGCAGCAGUGGGGAAUAUUGGACAAUGGGCGCAAGCCUGAUCCAGCCAUGCCGCGUGAGUGAUGAAGGCCUU
rnacentral:rRNA from 1 species